UACGUAGGGUGCAAGCGUUAAUCGGAAUUACUGGGCGUAAAGCGUGCGCAGGCGGUCGUGCAAGACAGAUGUGAAAUCCCCGGGCUUAACCUGGGAACUGCAUUUGUGACUGCACGGCUGGAGUGCGGCAGAGGGGGAUGGAAUUCCUGGUGUAGCGGUGAAAUGCGCAGAUAUCAGGAGGAACACCGGUGGCGAAGGCGGCUACCUGGACAGAAACUGACGCUGAGGCGCGAAAGCUAGGGGAGCAAACAGG
rnacentral:rRNA from 1 species